rnacentral:rRNA from 1 species
CGAAGAANAGCAAUACUUAGUGGCAGACGGGUGAGUAACAUGUGCGUAUCUACCCUUUGGCCUGGAAUAACACGAGGAAACUUGUGCUAAUACCGGAUAAGUCUUUACGGAGAAAGCUUUAUGCACCAUUGGAUGAGCCCGCACUUGAUUAGUUUGUUGGUAGGGUAAUGGCCUACCAAGACUAUGAUCAAUAGCUGAUUUGAGAGGAUGAUCAGCCACAUUGGGACUGAGACACGGCCCAAACUCCUACGGGAGGCAGCAGUGGGGAAUCUUGCACAAUGGAGGAAACUCUGAUGCAGCGAUGCCGCGUGAGUGAAGAAGGCCUUUGGGUUGUAAAGCUCUUUCGUCGGGGAAGAAAAUGACUGUACCCGAAUAAGAAGGUCCGGCUAACUUCGUGCCAGCAGCCGCGGUAAUACGAAGGGACCUAGCGUAGUUCGGAAUUACUGGGCUUAAAGAGUUCGUAGGUGGUUGAAAAAGUUGGUGGUGAAAUCCCAGAGCUUAACUCUGGAACUGCCAUCAAAACUUUUCAGCUAGAGUAUGAUAGAGGAAAGCAGAAUUUCUAGUGUAGAGGUGAAAUUCGUAGAUAUUAGAAAGAAUACCAAUUGCGAAGGCAGCUUUCUGGAUCAUUACUGACACUGAGGAACGAAAGCAUGGGUAGCGAAGAGGAUUAGAUACCCUCGUAGUCCAUGCCGUAAACGAUGUGUGUUAGACGUUGGAAAUUUAUUUUCAGUGUCGCAGGGAAACCGAUAAACACACCGCCUGGGGAGUACGACCGCAAGGUUAAAACUCAAAUGAAUUGACGGGGACCCGCACAAGUAGUGGAGCAU